rnacentral:sRNA from 1 species
CCACGGAUAAUGUGAAAUAACCAGGAAGUCAGCGCGCGGGUUGUUCUAACAGGCUUGAUGAAGUUGACUUCUCUCGUUCUUGAUACCUCCAAACGUGUUCCAGAGGAUGAUUUCCUUCCAGGGCAUUCUCCCUCGGGCCCAAUGGUCGCUGUUUUGGCCGUAGUACUAGUCCUCUACGGAAUUUUGUUGGAUACCUCCAAAAGUGACAAUUGCUAAAUGGUCGGAGAGAUCGUUAUUUCAAAGUUUUGAUCAGCAGGUUCACCCUUUUUGUUCGUUUGGCUAGCGUAUGGCGUGAGAACAUUAUAUAUACAUAUAUAUAUAUAUAUGUAUAUGCAUAUGUAUAUGAAAACGUAUUAUUCUACUUCCCGAGCGUGAGGUAUCUUCGGGGGAGGAGCCGUCAAGACUCAAGUGAGCGAACAAGGCUGCGCUUUAGUUAUCUGAGAUAUCAUAGAGAGGCUUUGCAACGGGGAUCAUAUCAUGCAUCCUUUACGGCCACUUUUGGUGCAGAGUCCACACCCAACCAAUUCCCAACAAGUCACCCGAGCGUUCAAAUCUCGCAUACGAAAGAAUCCUCCAGGUAGUCACUCCAAAUCAACAUGAGCAAUCGGGCCGUCUGAGCUCCACCGGCAUCUGACAUGAAGAUAGAUAGAUAUCUGGCUUUCUUUCACGCAGCCAAAUGGGGGCAAAUUGAGGGCCGUGCAAUCAGCAAGGCAAGCCAGACCGCUUUCAUGCGCAACCAGACAGGAUACCUUGAAUUUUGAUAUCCGGAUCAAACCCACUGCAACGUUCCAGAGGCAGCACGAGCAUCAUAUCAUCUGGUAAAUAAAUAGAAGGCAGAAAACGGACCCAUUCUGGAAUUUGGUGUUUCAACCUCCCUUCUCUGAUGCUCUCGAACUCCAUGUGGUUUGACGAGUAUGAUAGUAUCUUCAUCAAAUAGCAAUGCAGAGCUUGUUAGUGAUCAAGCACCUCAAUAUGCUGCUUCGGGGAAAACAUUCAUAGUAUUUAUUGUAACCCAUUUCAAAAAAAAAAAAAAAGAAAAGAAAAGAAAACUGUCAAGGUGAACUCAAGACUAGCAAGCCCUGUCUGUAUAAUUAUAGGUCAAGCACUUGGCUUAGUUCCUUGGGUGAGGCCCCUCUGGCAUGUACAGCGCAAAAUCGCGGCUAUCCGUCUGCAAACUAGCCGGGGAAAUCCAACAUCAAGCAGCACCCUUAGGGAAUUCAUGGUCUUUUGCCAACUUCUGAUGAUUUAUUUCCCCUUUCAAUACUGCAAUUCCGGUUUAUAUUGGAAUUCUCAAGAAUAAAGCAGAUCAACAAAACAACAAUAAUAAAUGUCCUCCACAGUCACACACCACAGCAGCUAACCAGCGCUCUCACAACAAUGGCCGGCCGCGACGACAAGGCCAACAGCAGUACCGUGAUUUGCGAUAGUAAUGCCGACGGAGCCAUUGCAAUAUCUGUGGCCAUACUCCCAUCAAACUAACGCGUUGCAACUAUCACAAUCUCACGGCGGCCGGCGAAGCUCAAAUCGCUCAACAGCCGCAUCCUUCCUCACGGCACUCCCAGCUUCAAUCCACACAUCACCGCAACCCACCCCAACCUACUUGCC